CCUCCCAAAGUGCAAGGAUUACAGGCGUGAGCCACUGCGCCCAGCCCCGCUUCUAUUUCUUAAUCGUGCUUUAUAAAUGCUUACUGAUUUGCUGUCUCAUUUCAGUCAUUCAUUCACUUAAUCUUUAUUGAGUCCUAUGAGUCAGGCUCUGCUCUGAGAGCCAGGGAUCACAGCUGAGAAUAAAACAGACAAAAGUCCUUGCCCCUAUGGAGUUCGUUUUGACAAGAGAGACAGACAAUAAAUGAGGCAAACAAAUAAAAUACGUAUUGUGUUGGGAAGUAAAGAGGCCAAGGAGAAGGAAAAAAAAACGGUAGGGGGCUAGAGAGUUCUGUGGUGAGGGCCCAGUGUUCGCUAGGGCGGCCUGGGAAGGCCUCACUGAGAGGAAGUCAUCUGAGUAAAUCCUAAAGGAGGAGCCCUGGGGAUGUUCCAGGCAGAGAACAGCUAGUGCAAGGGCGCCGAGAGGGGAGCACGUCUCAGGAAAGAAAACUGGCUCAGAGAGGCUGAGUAACCUGCUCAAGAUGACACAGCUUGUGGGUGGCUGAGUUGGCCUUCCAACCCAGAUUCCUGUCAUGUUCCUCAAGCCGACAGGUUCAGCUUGGUUGUGACCUCUGCUAGAAGCCCUCCCUGGCCUCCCUGUGCACUGAGCUGGUGGUUCCUCCUUUGCGCCCCAGGUACAUGCUCAGAUCUGUGUACCCUACACUUUGUCCUCCAGCUUCGUGUUUGGAUGUUCACAACUCCCAUGAGAAGGGCCCCCGAGAGCUGGCACAGUGCAUGUGUUUCCUCUCCAGACUUCUACAAACCUGGCACAUAAUUGUUUGCUGAAAGAUGGCAUGUUCCUAAAACAGAGGAAGUAGAACCGAAUAAAGCGAAAUCCAACUUCCCACUCCCUGCUCUCACUUCCUCUGGGACAGGCCUUGAGCAAGAGAGACAAAAAGAACAAGAGAUGAUCUUUCCCUUUAAUGGGAUUUCAGUCUGAUCAGGGAGAUAGUAACAGAAAGACUAGACUAGACUAGUGUAUGAUUAAAUGACAUUUGCCAUCCCCAGAAGAGGGAGAGACCUGCAUGGAACAGGGUGGUCAAGGCAGGCUUCCUGGAGGAGGCAAAGACUUAGAUUUAACAGUACCAGAGCUCCAGGAUAGAUCCUCCUCUGACUGAACUCCCUAUUUCUUUCUCCCACCCCAACCUUCCCGGGUCCCCAGCUGAAGGGAUACGUGUGUGUGUGUGUGUACAUGUGCCUGCACACAUGUACACAUGUGGUUAGAAAGGGGGUAUUAGUAUCUCUCUCCUAGGAUGGAGUCUCAAGGACAGGCCCAUCAUCUCCUCAGUUUGCCCCUCUCUCUCCCACUUCACCUAGGGAAUGGAAUAAGAAUGGGAUAAGUAUAACACAAUGAGACGAAUGCAGAACCAACUAGAUGUACACCCAACAAUGUGGAUGAACCUUAAAACAGUGCUGCCUGAAGAAGGCAAGAAACAGAAUGAAAUCUGCAGCACAUCAUUCAUAUAAACUAAAAAUACAUGCACAGAGAAAGGCCACUUUUUUUUUUUUGGAGACAAAGUUUCGCUCUUGUCACUCAGGCUGGAGUGCAAUGGCACGAUCUCGGCUCACUGCAACGUCCACCUCUAGGGUUCAAGCGACUGUCCUGCCUCAGCUUCUAGAGUAGCUGGGAUUAUAGGAGCCCACCACCAUGGCCGGCUAAUUUUUGUCUUUUUAGUAGAGACGGGGUUUCACCAUGUUGCCCAGGCUGGUCUCAAACUCCUGACCUCAGGUGAUCCACGUGCCUCGGCCUCCGAAAGUGCUGGGAUUACAGGCGUGAGCCACCGCACCCAGUCAGCAACGUAUGUUUUGUAGAGACACAGACAAAGAUGUGAUGUCAAACACACUAAUGUGGUUGCCUCAUUUAUGGAUGGGGGACUGGGCUGGUGAAUGAGGAUUAAAGGAAUAAAUAAAUAAAACAAGAGAGGGCCUCUGUACAGAACGGUGAUGACAGCGUGCCGUCGAGGAGAAUGAUGAACUCAAACUUUUGCACCUGAGAGCCAAACAAAAGCUCAAAACCAAAAUCUCUCUUAGAAAUGAUGCCACUGACUUUAGGAUGGCACUCAUAUCUGUGUGAGUGGGAGAGAGAAGGGUUUGGGGCAGGGAUUUGACUGUAGCUGUAAUGUUUUAUUCCUUUAAAAAAGAUAAGAUAAUCUGAAACAAAAUGUUAAUAUCUGUUGAAUCUGGGGAGAGGCUAUGAGGGUUUCUGUUAAACCAUUUUGUGUACAUUUUAAAUACAGUCAUGCAUGAGUUAAUGAUGGGGAAUAAGUUCUUAGAGAUACGUUGUUAAGCAGUUUUGUUAUUGUGUGAACAUUAUCGAGUGUACUUACACAAACUUAGGAUGGAAUAGCUGACUAUAUAACUUAGACUAUAUGGUCUAGCCUAUUGCUUGAAGGCUGCAAACCCAUACUCCAUGUUACUGUACUGAAUAAUGAAGACAAGUGUAAUACGAUGGCAAGUAUUUGUGUAUCUAAACAUAGAAAAGGUACAGUAGAAAUGUGGUAUCGUAGUCUUAUGAGAGUACUGUUGUAUAUGCAAUGCUUUGUUGACUGAAACAUCAUUAUGUGGUUCAUGACUGUAUAUCAUAAUUUUAAAAAAUAUUUUAAGAGGUUGCCAAUCAAGACACUACAAACUAAUUUUGUGGCUUUUGUCAAAAUUCAUUUCUUUCUUUCUUUUUUUUUUUUUUGUUUUGAGACAGGGAUCACUCAAGCAAUCCUUCUGCCUUA
rnacentral:lncRNA from 1 species